AGCCAAAUAGUUUAACAAAAAAUAAUGAGCUGUUAAUUCAUAUAUGCAACAAAUUGCUUUGGCUU
rnacentral:tRNA from 1 species